rnacentral:rRNA from 1 species
GUCUACGACCAUGCCACCCUGAACAUGCCCAAACCCGUCUGACCUUGGAACCUAAGCAGGGUCGGGCCUGGUUGGUACUUGGAUGGGAGACCACCUAGGAAGACCAGGCGCUGUAGGCG